AGUGUGGAUCAAUGCAGAUCUUUACACACACCAACAUUUGAAUUUUUCUUUUGCCAGAUUGACUUGCCUCAAAUUUUUUCCCUGACCUCUCUCAAAAUCCUUCACCUUGAACUUGUUGAGUGAGACUUGGAAGUUCUUAGCAAUUGUCUGGUCCUCAAAGAUCUGACGCUGAAAAACUACAAUAAGAAAGUUCAUCUUAGAGUUGUCACUAAGAAUUCACAUCUUGAGAACUUGCAUAUACAUGUGGAUGAUGAGACUUCAGAAACAGAGUUUUUAGUUUAUGCUCCCAAGCUCUUUUUUCUGGUAUGCCAAAAAGACUCAUUGAGGAUUUCUGCCAUGUUAAAGCUCUCAAAUUAAGCAAUUGGUUUAAUUAGGUACGGUGAAAUUCAACAUAGUUUUUUGUCAACGUAAAUAUGUUUUGGUUAACCAUAACAUCAUUCAUACUGCUUUGUUCUUCUUUUAUGAUAGUUUAUGGAUGACCCUUUGUUGGAUUUUUCCUUGACGAAAGCAUGUUGAAAAGAAUAUAAUUUCUUUGAGCUUUGAAUUCACUGGACUGACCAUCGAGAACUUGCAUCUUAAUCAUGCACACCACAUUUCAAAUUUCAACAUUGUGCACUACCUGUAACACUAAAUUUUGAUUUUCCAAUUUUUUAUUACUUUGAAACCUUUUCUGAUUGUGUUGUUUGAUGAAAUAAAGGUUACACUGGACAAUUGAUUUGUCAUAUUUAAUAUUGUAUUACCUUAUGGCAUCAUGUUUAUGUACCACUUGUUGUAUUGAAAACUUAGAUUAAUUUACCACUUUUUUAGCAAUUGCAUCAUUUAAAUCAACGUGGGAUUGGAAUUUUGUUUUUAAUAUAUGUUGCAUUUUUUAAAUCUUGUACUUAAUUUAUUUAGAUUUAUCUUUAUUGUCUAACUCGACUAAUGAAAUUCCUGAAUGCAGAAUUUAUCUGUUAGAGUUAAUAUUAAAUAUUGGCACUUCAGUUUCUAAUAUGGUAAGUGAGGUGGCAAUUAACACUAGAUUCAGUAAAUGUGAAGUCGCAGGGUUGGUCUGCAUCUUGUAAAAUUUCAUCAAUCUUGAAGUCAUCAUUCUCAUUGCUGUUGCAGAUGUUGAAAAUAUUGAAACUGAGUUUGAAGGUAUAUUGGAAGAUGAAGGCUUUGAUGAAAC